ACAUGUUUCAGUCGUGAGGAAGGCGGCGUCGUUAAGAUCGGCGUUGUUUGACGUUAGCGACAGAAGAAGCACCGGCUAACUCCGUGCCAGCAGCCGCGGUAAUACGGAGGGUGCGAGCGUUAAUCGGAAUUACUGGGCGUAAAGCGCAUGCAGGUGGUUUGUUAAGUCAGAUGUGAAAGCCCGGGGCUCAACCUCGGAAUAGCAUUAGUAACUGGCAGACUAGAGUACUGUAGAGGGGGGGAUAAUUUCAGGUGUAGCGGUGAAACGUGUAGAGAUCUGAAGGAAUACCGGUGGCGAAGGCGGCCCCCUGGACAGAUACUGACACUCAGAUGCGAAAGCGUGGGGAGCAAACAGGAUUAGAUACCCUGGUAGUCAAAUCCGUAAACGAUGUCUACUUGGAGGUUGUGGCCUUGAGCCGUGGCUUUCGGAUCGAACGCGUUAAGUAGACCGCCUGGGGAGUACGGUCGCAAGAUUAAAACUCAAAUGAAUUGACGGGGGCCCGCACAAGCGGUGGAGCAUGUGGUUUAAUUCGAUGCAACGCGAAGAACCUUACCUACUCUCAGUAUCCAGAGAACUUUCCAGAGAUCC
rnacentral:rRNA from 1 species